rnacentral:sRNA from 1 species
GCAGGUGUGCUGCAGUAUCGCCGUCCUCACUUCAAACCGUUCAGUAUCAUCUAACUUUGUUGCAUAAACUCGCCAUGGGCACGUGGUGCCGACGCAAACAGCUAUCACCAUAGUUGGACACGACUUGGCAUGUAUGAAGUGGAACUUUCGUCGGAUAGCAUGUAUUGCUAGUUUUGUGCAACAGUCGUCUUUGUUUUUGAACAAUCUUCCCACGAAAAUAUCAUCCCCUUCGUAGUUAGCAUCUUUAAUCGCUCGCUGGAGAGCAUCUGUCAAUGACAAAAACACAAAACCAUUAACGCGAUAUGUUGAGAUUUAUCAUUUAGUUAUACAGGUUACCCUGAUAUUCUCAUC